AAGAAAAUAGUUUAUAAGAACAUUUAUUUUGCGUAUAAAAAGAAUAUAUAAUUUUUCUUA
rnacentral:tRNA from 1 species